AUGUGUGAAUAAUCGCAACCCUACCCGAAACCACUUCCUCCUAAACCAACUUAGACAGAGGAUACAUUGACCUCGCCAACAGCGCCAUCACACCACACCACAGACUCUUGCUCUCUGUCUCCUGCUUAACCAGGGGCCAAUUUAAGAUAGUCGGACAAUGGUGGACAUCUACGUCAACGUUGACACUCUUAAACCAUCAGCAGCUUCACCAAACCAGCCAGUUUAGCAGGAGUGUGUGUAGGCGUGUGUGCGUGUGUGUGGGUGUAUGUUUGUGAGUGCAUAUGUGUGUGUGUGUGUGUGUGUGCACGGGUGUUGCCGUGCGGGCACGUGCGGACAUCCUGAGGCUGCUGGCGUCCCUGCUGGUGCUCCAGCUGAUGCGGCUGGAGGGUGUGGCUGAGGGGCGGCUGCUGAGGAACCUGUUCAGCCUGGACACGCCCCCGGAGACCAGGUCUCUGUCCUCACCGAGCACCCCGACACUACAGGGCCCUCCACACCGGUCCAUCCCAACACUACAGGGCCCUCCACACCUGUACACCCCAACACUACAGGGCCCUCCACUACUGUCCACCCCAACACUACAGGGCCCUCCACUACUGUCCACCCCAACACUACAGGGCCCUCCACUACUGUCCACCCCAACACUACAGGGCCCUCCACUACUGUCCACCCCGACAAUACAGGGCCCUCCACUACUGUCCACCCCAACACUACAGGGCCCCCCAAUACUGGAGGGCUACUACUAAUUUAUUCCAAGUUUUAUUAAUUCAGAAAGAACAAACAGUAGGCCUACUAAAUUAUGAUGACAUGAUACAUGAUAUGCAUCAUCAUGUAUUGUAACUGUCUCAGAGACAGUCUGGACAUUACAGAGAUUUAAAUAUGUAUUUACAUUAAUUGUUUAAUUCAUGAUUUUAUUCUUUGUUCAAAAAUGAUUUACGUUGUGCUGUUAAAAAUAGAUAUUGUGUCA